CUCCCCCCUCCCCGGGCGCAGGGCACAGAGUGAGGAACCGUCCCCCGGGGGGGGAGGAGGCAGGGAGCGGGUCUGCUGGCUCUCCGCGUCCCAGAGACCAGACACCCUCGGGCCUUGGAGCCCGGAUGAGAAACGUGUCUGGAGUGUUCCGGGAGCCCCGACUCCCACGGGCCUUCCGCUUCAGACGGGGCGGGUUCAUCCUUCCUUGGGCAGCUAUUUCCCCUCUCACUCCCGCUGCCUUGGCGCUGGUGAGGCGGGGAACAGCCACCAGACUGGCUCACCGGCGGUGGCUGACCCAAGAGCCAUGAGCAGAUGAGGAAACUGCCGGAGACACUCAGUAGUCACCCAUCUAAAGGAUAUCGCAUUGCACUGAAGACUAAAUAGUUUAUAAAGUUUAGAAAGUCCCCUCCCAGUUCCAAAAGCAAAGGGACAAUAGGCCUUCAUGGUGAAGUAAGAGCUCUGGGUGUGUUCAUUAGCAAACGAAGGCUGUGCUGUGCGACUUUGGGCAAAUCCCUUACCUUCUCUGAACCUCAGGCUCUUCAUCUGUAAAAAGGGGACAAUAGCGGUACUGCUCGAUAGGGCUGCUGUGAGGUGAUCACUUGUUAAUUUACGUGAGGCACUUCUCAAGGCGCUCAGUAUGCUCUGAGCAGUCUGUUGAUAAAUCUCAACUGGUAGAAAUCACAGCCCAAAACCAGGACUGCUCCAGCAUGCUUACGCUUCCUGGCAGAAAAUGCCCCAGCAAAAUGGCUGCUCCAAAAAGAAGACAUGUCACGGGCCUAACACGUCAGACUCAAUUUGCAAAGCCCAGGACGGGAAUGGACAAAGACCUACAGUUACCAGGCCCGGGUUGGAGUCUGACACACCGCUCCCGCCACAGGACCUCAGGCAGCCUGUUCAACCUCUGGAACUCAGCAUCCCCAUCUGUUAAAUGGGAACAAAUCGCCCACCUUACAGGGUUGCCGAGAGAGAGAAUGAGGUGCGUGCCAUAAAACAUCCAGGAAGAUUGAGGUGUGAUGUUUGGCUACAUCUUUCUCUUCUGCGCCUUCUAGGAGCCACCAAGUCAUUGACUGCGCUGGGGAUCAUUAGAGAAAUCCACCAAAAUCUGAUACGGGCAGUUGUGGGGCGUUGGUAAGGAGAUCCCACUCCUCUAUUUUUUGAGGAGAAGGAAGGGGGUGAUUUACUAAGCACUCACUUUCCCUGUCCCAGCCAGAGCUCUGCUGACAAGCCAGUUCCAUAAUCCUCGUCCCUACAAUGCCUUUCCUUGUCCAGAGUAAAGUUAGACGGGAACCCAAUCACUCUGCUGGACUGUUUUAAAAGGAAGCACGAAACUAUUCCCAUGGUCAGUCUGACAAGGAUCCUUAUAGGACCUGUUUUCACAGAAUCACAGAACUGUUCGGUUUUCACAAAACAGCAGCUGAAGGGACGGAAGAAAUCAAGGAGUAUCACUCCCCUUUAAAGACAAGCAAAUAAAGGGGCGCCCGGUGACUCAGUUGUUUGGGCUUCUGACUCUGGAUUUCGGCUCAGGUCAUGAUCCCAGGGUCGUGGGAUCGACACCAAGCGUGGAGCCUGCUUAAGAUUCUCUCUCUCCCUCUGCCCCUCUCCCUCGCUCAUGCUCUCUCUCUUUCUUUCAAAUUAAAAUAUAUAUAAAGAUGAGCAAAUAAGAACCACAGUGGCAGAUCUGCUUCUUCAAAGUCAUACAGCAGAAGGGGUUCAGAGUUAGAACGAUACCCCAGUCACAAGAUUUCUGCUUCCCCGCUCAUGGUUCCCUGAGCUGUCAGAAGACACCCAUGCAUCCAACAUCCAUUCAUCCACCUGUCCAUCUAUGUUGACACUGGACACCUUCCUUGUGGCAAGCACUGCUCUGGGUUCUGGAGAGCCAAGGCUGAACAAGACUGUCACAGUCCCUGACCCCAGGGCGCUUCCCAUUCCGUGAGCUAGAAGGACUGAGGUGGGGUCAUCUGUUUGCCAAGGGUCUACAGUGCCUGGCACACGGUAGGUACACAGUAAGUGUUUAUUGAUUUAUGUAUCUCUCACCUUGUGGGACGCUCCCACCUUUAUGACUGAUGUGCUGGGUUGUUGUGACGAGACUAGUGGGGUAAAGGCUCAGUAUUUGUAACUAUCUCAAACCACCUUCUCCACUCAUCAUUCUACCAGAAGACUUCAUGGGACAGUGUGCAGACACAACAACAACAACGUUGAGGAAGGAGUCCAAAGACCCAAGUUCGAGUCCCAGCUCCAAGCUGCUUACUCCUGAGUAACUACUGAAAGGCACUCAUGCCUCAGUGUUCUCGUCUACAAAAUGGAGCAAAUAAUAUUUGACUUGCCUAUUUCACUCAGCUGCUGGGAUUACAAAACGGGGGAGGGAACUGGGUGGGGGAGGGAAAGAGUAACACUUCUAGAAAGUUCCACUAUGAGUAAAAGGUUAUGGAGAUGUUACUUGAAUGAUUUGCUCAUUCAUUGAGAACACAAGGGGAAUUACAAAUGAUCAGCUUCCCAGCCAGUGUUUGCACACUCUUGUUCCAAACUUCUAUAAUGGGACUGGUUGAAAUCGCCCCUGAUUUGUCCCUACCUUUGAAGAGAUUACGUUCAUGUAUCUGCGGCAUCACAUGUCACCCCAGCCAAUCCUGACCCAUGUUUCUCUCCAUUCGAUGCAUGUAACAACAGUACUCAGAGGUGUUGUAACCUUAAUUGCUUGCAAAGUGUUUUGAAAUCCUUAGAUUAAAAAGCUCAGGGAAGUCCAAAGUAUUACCUCUCUCUCUGUAUGCCCAGGGAGCUAGGCCGAGCUUCGUCUGGAUUUGUGGGAGCAAGGAGACACGACAAUGCAGAUUCUGAGGCUCCAGGAACUUUGGGGUUUAAGGGUCCUAUUCCUGGGAUGGCCCCAGACCAACCCCCAGCUUCCUAAGUUUCUAAGCUACUCAGGCAUUUGGCCAUUUCCCCCCACCCCGCGCUGCCUCUGAUGUGUUUUUUCCAUUUCUUUCAAGUUCCUGGGUCACGAGGCCUGAGUUGCAUUUACUUUGGUGUCAUAGGUCUCCGUUCUUGGGUGAUCUCAGCCUGAGUCCUAGAAAAAGGCAAUUGUGUCAUCUGUAACUUCUGUAUGCCUUUCCAUUUAAACUUAGAACUCAUUUCUUCCAUUCUAAUUUUUACUGUUAAAAGAGGAGUCACAAUUCUGCCCCAUGGGAGUGACCCUCGGGAGGGGGGGGGCGGGGCAGGGGUAUCCCUUAGGAACUGAAAGGGACGGGGAGACGUUCCUGGGAUCCAGGCAGUCUUUUGUGAUCUGGAUCCGACCGCUGGUUCUGCCACUGUCUUCCUGUUGGGUUUGUGAAAAUUCAGAGCUGACCACUUUCGUGUGCAUUUUUCUGCAGAUUUGUUACACUUUACAACCUAAAGUUUUUUUCUUUUUUAAAUCACUCUCGAUGCUAAUUUAUUUCAUUUAAAAUCGAUUCUGAUGGAACAGUGAAGGUAUUAACCUAAUAAAAAUCCUUUCUCUCUUUGCCUUUGUGUUUCAAAAUAAUGCCUUUAGUUUUUCCA